rnacentral:lncRNA from 1 species
GGCUGAACUGAGAUGAUACUGAGGUGUUCAGGUGAGACCAUACUUCACAGCAGGAUCCACUGUUGUCUACAAUGAAGUCCUGACAAUCUGAUAUGCAGAAGAUGCCAAAAAAAGUCACGAGCAUCUUUCUGCACUCAUGUUUCAGCCUAGCAUUUCCUUCCUGAUGCAUCUCAAUUGGAAGAAGGCUCUCACAUUUCCAUCUCUCUUCUCCAGGGCAGACACACAUGACCAUUUCCAGUGGGCAGCUAAGAGCUUGUUCACCACAAUUCAUUGUGACUUCUCAGGUGCUGCUGUUCAUCUCCCUGGAUGAAGACAGCCACUCCUGGUGCCUAAAUCUCUCCUCAAGAAGACAGAGAAGCCACCAUCAGAGUCCUGCUCCACCCACUUUACUGGCCAUCAUGCCUGCUCUGCAAUGGCUCCACCUGCAAAAAACCCUCAUGGAGAGAUUUGGAGCUGGGUGGAAGAGGACCCAUGGGGAAACUGAUCUCAGCUGUGGGUCGUUCCAAGGCACAAAGAGCAGAAGAGGCUGCUUGUUGAGAGCCCCUCACAUCCCAUGGGCAAAGAGGAGCUCAGGACACUCAGCCACCCCACAGCCACCAGAAGGAGCCAGGAGAGGCAGGAAGAAAAGCCCCAGAGGAUGCGCAGGGCUCAGCAGAGGACCGCCAAGAGACUUGGUGUCUCCUCUGUGUGGGGAAGCGCCUGCGGCCACCCGUGGGUUGUUCCCAGGCGCAGCAACGCCCAGAGCGGACACCUCUUGUGGCGCUGCCUCAGCUGCUGCGAAAGCAGAGCCUGCCAGCUCCGGCCAGCCAGGGAUGGGGAAGGGGCCGUCGGGUGCGGGCAGUUGGGCGCCCAUGGCCCAUCUCCCCACCGUCGCCUUGCUGCUGUUGGGUACCAGUGUGACCACCCAGGACAUCUGCAGCUCCCCAGGGGAUGGUGACCUCCCAGCUCCCCACCUGAGCCUCAAUUUAUCACAUGCUCAUCCUGGUGACACAGUUCUGUUUGGGUGCUUCCUACUGCUGGGGUCCCCUGCCACCCGAAUUGUCUUCUGCAAGGAUGGGAUGGAGGAGCGCAGUCUGAAAGCCCAGCAGGGGCAGCUGAGCUACUUCAUGCUGAAGAAGGUCACCCUGGAAAGUGCAGGGACCUACACAUGUGGGUACCAGUACAGGAAUGAGAGCAACUGGGUGAGGAGCUCUGCCCUCAGUGCUCCCCAGCACCUGGCUGUCACAGGUGAGACACAUCCCAGUGGUGGGAACAGAAGGGACAGGGAAUUGCCACCACGUGGUUUUGCUAAUAACGUGGGUCUGCCAUUAACGGAGCUCUGCUCUGGGACAAGGAGGGCAUGGUGCUGGUGUCCUUCUCCUGUGUGAGUGUGUUGCUGCCACUGAUGGAUGUUCUAG